GGCGGCAUGGCCAAGCGGUAAGGCAGGGGACUGCAAAUCCUUUAUCCCCAGUU
rnacentral:tRNA from 2 species